rnacentral:rRNA from 1 species
AGCGAACGCUGGCGGCAGGCCUAACACAUGCAAGUCGAACGGAGUGGCGGACGGGUGAGUAACACGUGGGAACGUGCCCUUUGGUUCGGAACAACUCAGGGAAACUUGAGCUAAUACCGGAUGCCAUUGGAGCGGCCCGCGUCUGAGUAGCUAGUUGGUGGGGUAAAGGCUCACCAAGGCGACGAUCAGUAGCUGGUCUGAGAGGAUGAUCAGCCACAUUGGGACUGAGACACGGCCCAAACCCCUACGGGAGGGAGCAGUGGGGAAUCUUGCGCAAUGGCCGAAAGCCUGACGCAGCCAGGGCGCGUGAAUGAUGAAGGUCUUAGGAUUGUAAAAUUCUUUCACCGGGGACGCGGUACCCGGAGAAGAAGCCCCGGCUAACUUCGUGCCAGCCACCGCGGUAAUUC